UACGUCUGUCGUUUAUGAGGAUGAGUACCUCCGCAGGAGGUUCGCGCCUCGCGAAGCGAGACAACGUUGCUUUAGCAACGGCGCCACAGGGCGCGCAUCCAAGAUGCACGUAAUCCUCUCUCGCCGAACG
rnacentral:sRNA from 1 species